rnacentral:tRNA from 1 species
GCACCGAUAGCUCGGUCGUUAGAGCAUGACUCGUAUACCUGUUCUUACGUCGCGGCGACCCGGUGCCGCGGGUUCGAUUCCCGCCCGGGGCG